UCCUCCCGUCCCGAUCCCCCCUCUGCCGCCGCCGUCGCCGGCCGAUUCCGGCCAGCUCCGGCGCCUCCCCGCGCCGUGGCUCACCAGCCCGGCUCCCCCUCGGCCCCCUCCACCGAUUCGCCGCCUCCGCCCCGGCCUCCCACCCCCGCGCGCGCCCCCGAGGCAAACCCUAGCUCGCCGGCGCGGCGGUGCGGUGCCCGUCUUCCGCUCCUCCUCCCGAGCUCCGGCGCCCCCGCCUCGGCUACUCGGUGCGGGCUUCCUCGGCUACGACUCCUUCCGGUCCCACGGCGGUGGCGGUGGUCGUUCCCACUUCGUCUCCGUCUCUCGAACUAUAAGCUCACACUCUUCUGGAGCUGGAAAAUAGCCGGGAAGUCUGUGAGAGACAGGAUCAACCUUUUGCUUGCAGUAUUUUAAGCGCCUUGAUGCUUCCCCCAAUGGUGCAGGGAAAUUAGGAACUCUGAAGGUGAAUCUCUGACUAAAUAGGAUUUAGUCUGACACUACUGCAGGGAGAUAAGAGCAGGACACACAAUGCUUGAGGAUUUCUUUACUCUGACUGAGAUAAAGGAUGGCAUUUCAACUACGGCAAGAAUAGCAGAGCUGGUUUCUGAGAUCCAAAAGCUGAGAGAUGCUGCUGAUUUUAGUACAGCUGAUUUCAUAAGGCAGUGUUCAACAGCUGCAAAAACACUUGGAUCUACCAACAAUGAAGAAUGUCUUCAGCAUUUUGUUCAGCUAAAUGGUAUUGGUUAUCUCAAUCAGUGGCUUCAGGAUGCUCAAAACUGCAGCAAGGAAGUCAGCAGUUCAGCAGAAGGUUUGAUAAAUGAAAUAUUAACUGCAUUGGAGCGGCUACCAGUUGAUGAUAUACAUAAAGCUCCUUGUGGUUUAAUUCCCACUGUUCAUCAGCUACUUUCUCAUGAAAAUACAGAGAUCAGUCAAAAGGCAAGAUUACUUUGCCAGAAAUGGAGCAGUGCACCAAAUUAUGGGGAAAAUGACCGACAAAUAGAUGCAAAAGAAGCGUACCAGGCUGCUGAUCUUAAGCCCCCAGAAGCUAGCCAGGAAAUGGAAAAUAAUAAACACGGCGGAGCAAAUGAAGCUGCAACUGCAGAAGCUAAAUCAAACCAUGAUACAUUAACUUCCUCGGUUGUUCCUUUGCAGGAUCUGUCCCUUAUCAAUAAUAACACAGACAUGACAAAGCAGCCUCCAAUGCCAGCAUCCCCAAAUUCCUCGGAUGGACAGGAGGUUUUAGUGCAGGUGAACUCCUCAGUUUCAUCUCUUGCAUCUCAGGGCGGCCUACCGAAUGCGUCUGUUACCGAGGAGACUUCUUCCUCCAAUGACGUAGGUUUAGUCACCAAUGGCAAGUUGUCAGAUACUCUCAACCUAAAGAGUGACACUGGGCAUGUUACUCAAGUAAUAGGUUCGACCAUAGAUGCCAAGUGUCUUGAGAAUGUCAACUCAGAGAACUCAUUUGACAGUAUCAAAAUUGAUUUGGGGGACCAAAAUGUUUCAAGUAGCUUGGAUAUCAAAAAAGGCAAUUCCUUUGCAGCAGGUCAGUCGUGCUCUGAUAAUAAUGCAAUUGAAGCUUUGAACCAUCUUGCAAAUGCAAGCGGUAGUUUGCAAUAUUCGUCGGAGGACAGCAUGGGCAAAGAAGAAGGGCCUACAUCAUCAUCAGGUACAGAUGAUAAAGACACUGGCGGUGAAUUUUGGUUGACAAGAUCUGCGAAGAGCUUUGGGGAUUCCUCAAAGGCAGCAGAGACAAAGUUGAAUGCAGUAGAGGGAGAGAAGUCACCACCAUCGACAGAGUAUGAUGAUACUGAUGCACUGGAAGUAGCACGUCUCGUUGCAAUUGAGGUGGAGCGGGAAGUAAUUGACUACAGGGGAGACUAUUGCAGUUCUCCUGACAUUAGUUCCAAAAAUGUAGAUAGUCCUCAUGUGGAAGCAAGGCAGCACACUGAACCCCCUGUUCAUGAAUCAAAUGAGAAUAAAUCCUCCACUACGGUGGUGGAUUCAGGAAAUUCCUCGUCUCUUAAGGAGGAUGGUGUGGGCAUCACAGAUGACAGCGGUCCUAUUAAUAGCAGAAAGAACACACAGGGUGUGGAUAUGGUAGACUUUGAUCUUAAUGCAAAUCAGUACCAUGAGGAAACCGAUUAUCAUCCAAAGUCCAGUGCUAAUAAUUCUGUAAAUUUAUCAACUCCUAUAGCUGUGGCUGCUUCUAGAGGCUCACUUGUAUUUCCAGCUCGCCUCCAAUUCGAAGGUGCACUGGGGUGGAAAGGCUCUGCUGCAACCAGUGCUUUUCGGCCAGCUUCUGUUCCGCGUACUCCUGACAGAGAGAAGUCAAUGUCAGCCUCUUCACAGAAAACAAGAAAUGUGAUGUUUGACUUGAAUGUAGAUGAAAGUGAAAAUACUAUUGCUGGUGAGUCACUUUCAACAGCCUUCUGGCUUCGUUCUUCCGACAUAGCUCCCAAGGAUAUCUCUGGAGCUGAUGGUGCUAGUACGGGGCUUGAACUUGACCUUAAUAACCCAUGUGAAGAGGAGGAAGCUGCUACCACCUCACCUGCUGUACCAUCAUUCUGGAGUCAUGAACAAUGUCAUGGCAGAUGGAGCCAGCCCUCUUCCUCUUCAUCUUCAAGGCAACCUACUGCAAAGAACUUUGACUUGAAUGACAAUGUAUCCUUCUUUGAUGCCUCUUCCCGAGGCAAGGGGGAGUCCUAUGUCAAGACUUCCACGAACAAUACAUCAGACCAUUCUGAAGUCAUGAUUAUGGGCAAGAGAGUUGCACUUGGACAGAAGGAGCACCGCAGCCCAAACCAGUAUAACUUUCUGGGGCCAAGUAUGGAAUCUAGUCUCCUUGUGAGGUCAACGCAGUCAUAUGCACACACGCCUCCUGAUUUCAGUGUUUUCGGCUAUCCUUCUCAACCUGCUGCCAUGCCUUUGCCUCCUCCUCUCUAUGCACCUGGAGGUGCUCCUUACAUGGUUGAUGCUAGGGGUGCAGCAGUGGUGCCUCCAUUGCCGGGCCUAGGUGUUGGCAUUUCUCAUCCAUCUUUCACCAGCAGAACAAUUCAACCUGUGCCUAGUGAAUUUGGCUACAUGAAUGCAAGCAUGGAUUUCAACUAUGCUCUCUCAUCUGAAGGCGCACGAAGGGAAGUUGGCGGCUAUUGGCCUGUGCCAUUCCAAGGUCAUACCGUCUUUCUUGAUGAACGUAUGAGAAGUACAUCACAAGGUGGCAGCUCUGGUACUGGGUUGGUAUCGAAGCGGAAAGAACCUGACUCAGGUUGGGAUAUCUACCCCCGGCGCUGAGCGUCCAAUGUUAGUUGCAGUUGUAUUUCUUCGGUUAAUUCAAUGUUCGAUCUGCCUGGGGCCUUGCACAAUAUGGAAGAAGUUCCGCACAUGGAAAAUGGAAGAUGCGUGAAACUGACUAUGUUUCAGCUAUGAGUGGUUUUCAGACACGCAGGCUUCUGGAUAUCAUUGCUUUGGUACAACAUGUAGAUUUAGUUCCUCUGCCUAUUGCGCAUAGAUCAUGCAUUUAACUUGAAAAGACCAAACUGGUGGCAAAACUUCUAAUUUCCUAUGAAGGAGCCAGCUGCAACUUAUCAGGGAAAGAAUCAACUGAACCCUUGAGAUCAGGUCAGCAAUAAUAACCUUAAAAAAAUAUUUUUCCUGUAUUGAUCAACUAGACUACGCAUAUGUACAAUCCCUGUUUGAUAUGUACUGUACAAAAUAUCAAAAUGAUGAGCGAAAUUGCCCCCUUCUCUUAGGUGCAUCCACCUAUGCAUUCCAGAUUUUUGAUCAAAUGCACACACUUAAACAAAUGAGAAGAUAAGUUUAACACAAAUAAUAUGCAUAUAAUGAAAUUUAUACAUCCUUGAUUUUUGGAAAGAUGGACCUGAUUUUAAACCUUUCAGAAUAGUUGUCGACUACCCUGAAAACCUCCUCUGAAUUGGUUCAGUAGUUCAACCAGCCAACUGUGUUUAAUUAACUUUUUUAGUCAAAGCAAAGUGAUCCGCUGUGUAUGGAGGAUGUUUUACAUAACAAUUGGACACUGUAUCUGCCCUCUGCUAAUUAACAUAAUCUUUGUUGGGCAUGAUAACUAGAUGAUUACCUUCUUGGCCCUUAAAUUUAAUUGAAAGACUAUUGUUCUGUAUGAACUGCCCUUCUUGUCUUCUUUAUUUCUAAUUCCUUUGUGUGAAAAUAUCUCUACCAUUCUAUUCUACUUAAAGGACAUGCACUCCCGACCAUUUUUACAAGAAACUGACAAAGUUCGGUAAUUCUGUUCAUGUAAAUCCUUAAGAAGAAAAAAGUGAGUGUACUGCUUAAGUAAGUUGUCUCUCUUGAAAAAUACACACAACGAACAUAUAAAAUACUAAGUACUCCUUCAUAGGAAAUAACUGAAAUGUCACUAAUGCUACCAAAUUUCAUCAAGGCUGUGAAAAUAAUUUAUUUUCAAGUGGCCAUCUACACCACCAGCUCACCAAGUGAUUCUGAUACUUGCACUUCCCAAAUGUCAUUAAAAUAUUUUUUUCUUUGUUUGUUUUUUCUCAUACUGCUGCCUUCUGUCUAAAGGUAAUCUACAGGGCCCUUGUGAGCCAUUUGCAAAUCAUAAUACUGCCAUUGUUAAUUUUUUAUACUAACCAUUGUUUAUAAAGCCGGUAAGGCGACCCAAGGCCCGCACCAACCGCUUUGAUGCCUAAGCGCUUAAUGCGGGCAUAAUGUCAAGGCGCUGCCAGGGCGCCCUGCCGCCUAAGCGUCCAAGGCAGGACGCCUUAUAUACAGUGAUACUAACAAUAGAAGCAACUUGUAUGGACAUAUCUGAUACUAACAAAUAACAAUGGAAGCAACUUGCAUGGACGGGCCACAGAAGAUGUCAUCAAACAGAGGAUGAUGUUUCAUUUCGAGAUAGAUUAUUUAAAACUAUCCUUAUUCAUCAAACAUAGUAGUAGGAACUUUGACUUUCAUGAGGUAAACUGAGAUUGGAUCUAAAGAUCUGCUGACCAAAAGUGGAUAAUGGAAUGAAAUGCAUAACGACUUUCUGACCUGAUGAAAUUGUUAUAGAAGAGUAUCACAUUUGCACCUUUGAUCACUAUAACACUAUUCUCUAGCAGCUGUCAGUUCUUGAACCUCCUCUUUUGGGUUUGCUACUAUGCAGCGUUAUUUUGCGCAAAAGAAAAAAGAUCUUGAAGCAAUAUACCAAAUAGCAUUGAGGUUUGGUAGAUAGUUUGCCUGUUACUCCAAAGUCCUUGGACAUAUUAUCUAAAGAACUCCCUGUUUGUGGAAAGCUUGCUGUAUCUUGUAUCACUAUCUCAAGCAGGCCCUCAGUUUACACAAGUAUGGUCAGUUUGACAGCGCAGUAGAAACAUUCGAGGUUACUGCAGAUAAUGAGAACAUGCUGGACCCGUUUAUAUAUGUCAUCUGAACCCCGGUGUCCUGUGACACUUCGUGCAAUAAAGAUCAAAGACAGAGAAGUCUGGUAAAGAUUGAAUCUGAGCUGAGGUGUCAUCAUCUGAACUGGAUGGAUGCAGCCUCGCCAGAGCAUCUUUGAAGUUGGAACGUAGAAGACCGACCUGAAGCUUAACGAGAACUGUACUUGAUCAGCAUUCAGCAGCAUGAUGAUUAGUUGCAGAAUCCGGUGCGGAGCCGUCCUGAGCAGAGUCUUGUUGCAGGAACUUUACCUGCAAGAAAGAAAUUUGAAGGAUGCAUGCACUCCUGAAAGGAGUUGACAGCUUCACACGGAGGCAAGAAAUUGUCUGGACAUUCAGAUCGGUAACAAUUGUAGCAUUAGCAUUAUAGAGAUGUAGUACACCCAAGGUAUGUAGCCCCCGAAGGAAACAUCGAUCAACGUAACAUUUUGAAGUAUAUAUCUUCUUUUUUUGAGAGAGGAAGAGGCAUAUAUAGCAUCAGGUAGUGGUACUAGUUGUAGUAGAGAUCGCAGAGCAAAGCAUAUGUGUUUUGCCUAUAGGAUGUCGUGGCAUGCUCCACAAAAAAGAGUAGCAUUGUGGUACGUAACAAGUUUCGACGAAAUUAGAUGUAUAACUGGAAGCGCUACUUGGAAGUUGGAACUCAAAACAGAGGAUGAUAUAUAUUCUGCCUA